AUGCAGGUUCAGCCAGCCGGAAGACGAAGGACCAGGUGGGGAUCCGCUGCGUUAUUGGGACAUCCUGCCCGGAGCRGUGGCCUGCCGUUAGGAGCCCUGCGGAUGGCGGAUAGCGGGGACGAGCCCUCAGGCAGCGCUGCAGAACGCCUUCCCAUCAACUUUGAAUCAGCCSCUGCAGCCUUGCCGUCUCGCAAGCUGGCCCAGCGGAUACGGAGCGCGAGCCCUUGCAGCUCAUGCCUUCCUCGGUCACGGCACGGCUCCUCGGGCUCCUCACCAUGGGAAUUUCUAUCUCAUCGCCAUCUUGUGGCUUUCGCCAAAAACACCGGUGUUGCAGAACUCCCUCCUCAGCUGGGAAGGCUUUAUUGCAUGAGGGCACCUGUUAAAACGCAGUAUCUACUAGACAUGAGUCUUCAAUCUUCAAUGACAUCCACACCCUCCAAAAGCCUCUGCCUGGAGCCCGGCCGGCAGGAUAGCGUGGAAGACCCUGUGGUCAGAUAA
rnacentral:lncRNA from 1 species